UUGUUCCAAGCCAAAAAGCACCUGAAUGUAUUUUGAGCACUAUGUACCAUCAUAAUGCACGAAUAUUACGCACGUUUGUUUCCAAAAACAUAGUUUCAUCUCUUUGAACUUGCGUUAUAGAGGAACAUUUAGAACAGAAAGCGAGGCAUUUAUGGCCUUCCACUUUUAGAAACAACCAGAUACAUUAAAUUGCCGAAUACCAACGACGGCUGGACGCUAUAAAUACAAAAGAACGAGCAUUUCAAUCACGACGGUGCCUCUUGCUUCCGAAUCCUGAAAGCUUUUAGUUUUAAGUGAAUUUAAUUAUAUUUUUGGUCAAUGGUUGGUAGUGCCUCUUGAUUUAUUUGUUUGUUUUCAUUUCGCUCAUGUGAAAAUAUUUUUCUUAUAUAAAAUUAUAUUUUCUUUAAAAAAUAUUUCUCAAAUAAACCAACACAAUAUUGCUCCGAAAUUUCAAUGACAUGCAAGACAUAAAUUAAAAUGAUUAAAACAAAUUAUCAAGCGUGACGUUAUCUUUUAUUACGGUCGGUAAUAAAUUAGUAAACUACCAAAUAAAAAUGAAAACAUCAAAUAGACUAACGAAGUUAACUCGGACCAAAUUAGGUCUUGCAACUUUACUUAAUUGAGUACUUUCCUGACUGAUUCGAACUCACGCCAAACUAAAUAACUCCGACACAAUAAAGACAAACGUCGCAACCGAAACUCACUUAUUAGUCUGAUAAGAAAGGAACGGAAAAUUUAAAGGCAACACAACACCAAAAAAUGACGAAAUAUUACAACAUGUAAGUUCAAAAAUCAUUACGUUUCAAACAGCUUGAGGCGAUAAAAAAAUCUUAAACUGAAUAACUUCGAGUUAAAUGCACUUUAAAACAGUUUGAGGCUACUGACAGGGAAUUACUGUGCGCAGCUGGUGUGGAACAGGAACACCGACGACGACGCGCAUAUGUCAGGAUAUUUCAGCGAGGGAGGUGGACUGUUCGACUUCCACGAAGGGAAUCCAGGACUCCGAUUACAAGCCAUUUCAUGAGGCUUAAUAUUUAUCGUCACAUUACACGCAAUAGGCGCCCUGGAUACCAAACGUUCCGUCACCCGGAAAAAUCUAAUCUCGCAAUAACAACUUUCAGAAAAGUUGGAAAUUUUAGAGAGACGUCUUCAAUCGGCCACAAUUAUAACAUAAAUUAAAAACAAUAACUAUAAAAAUAUGGGAGAAACUCAACUUUUCCCCGUAAAUAAAGAGGCGGUGUAUUGUUGGUUGCAUAAUUCGAAACUCUUAACGCAUAAUUCACUUGAAAAUAUUUUUAUAAUCAAAUUGACGGAAUUGUGUAAGCGAAAAUAUAAAAACAAAUUAAAAAAAAAUACAUUUUUUUAAAACUUAAUUUUUACAAGUCGCUUUUUUUCUAUGUUUAAAUAAACUUUGUUGUAACUUUACAAUUGAAUAACUCGGAUAAAAGAUACCAUGACUGACCCUAAACGUUUGAUGUUAUGCUGAAAUGCACAUUACACAGCUGCCGUGCUGUCGCUAGGUAGCUACGAUGAUGAAAAAGGGAUGAAGGAUUGAUUAGUAACAUAAAACUGGGGUUAUAAAUUGCUUAAAUCCCUCUAACUUUACGUUUUUCACCAAAUCUUAGCUAUGAUAUAGAACGUCAGUUCUUUAAUUAUAAAAAGUCUAUGAUAGUCUAUUUAUUUAAUUAAGCCGUAUGUUACUGAUUUCGUGAGAUCUACGUUAAAGUUGAACUAUAAUGUAAAUUAUUAAAGAGGAACUGUUCAAACGAAUAUACAAAUAAAAAAAUACAAUUGGGUGUUGCUCAUAAAUAAAACCAUUCCAAAAAGUACAUUAAAAAAAAAGAUUCAAAUCACAUAAAAAAUAUCGUAACUUUGUUAUUGUUUAACACUAAUAUAAAUUUGAAAAACAAGAAUUGUGUGUCGUUUAAAAAAACUCUAUUUCUAAAUAUUUCAAAUUUUUAGGUUUUUUGAGUUACAAUUUAUUAAUAAACUCCUCAAUUUUUCACCGUUUUAUGCAAAACAAUUGAUAUUCCGUUUUAUCCGAAAUUUCACUGAUUCUCUUAAAAGAAUUAAUCUUAAAAACAUAAAUUUAUAGGAUAUCUGAUUCCUGGAAGAAGUGUCAACUCUCUGAAAAUCUUAAAAAAAAUCAUUGAUUCGUCUUCUGAAUACAAUUCAAAAAAAGAAGAAGAAAAAGAAGGUUUUUAUGAUCUCGUAAGAAACAUAGAAGUGAAGAAGUAUGUUGACAACAUAGUGACCAAAAUUUGAUAAUCGCCUCAUUACACCGAUUUUGUUCUCUAAGUGCUUCAUGGUAACUUAUUCAGAAUUCAGAUAAUAUUCAAUAAACCAAGCACAUAUAUCUAAACUCUAUAAUAAGUGGUUAGCAAGCAUGCUAUUUUGAAAAUUUUGAAAAUUUUAUGAACAUUUUAUGUAUGUCUGGAAUUAGUUUCCCAGUCAUUCCACUUUAAUAGACGAAACACUACACAAAUUUUUAGAUUUUAUUUUCAGUUUUUAUGAUAAGAAAUAAUUUUUUCUUUAUAAGAAUUUAGCACAGUCAAACUGUUUGCAGCCUAUUAUUGGAGCCACAUUUGUAAAAUUUUAAAUAUAAACAGAAUAAAAAAAUUCAUGACGGACGGAACACAAAAAAGACCUCACAUUUUUAUCGUAGAACAAUCGUCAAAUUUUGCAAUUUUUGAAAGAUGUUUGCGUAUAAUUUAGAUUUGACACAGUUUAAGUCAAAAAAAAACAACAUUCUCAGGAAAUAUAGAUAAUCUGAUAAUUAUUUUAAGCUUCACCCACUAUCUACUUACCUUAAAAAAGUCGUAAUUUAAUCAAACGCAGCAAUCUAUGGAAAACAUACUCUCAUAAACUUUUCAGAACACCUUUGAUCACACUUUUAUUUAGACCUUCCGUAGCUUUAGAACAAAACCCCUCAAUAAAUGGGCAUAAAAAUUAUUGACAUUGUUAUCAAGUUACGCCAUAAUAUGAGCCACCCCAUAGUUAUACUGUUUUUGUCCGUGAUAAUGUAUCGGCAUUUAAAGUUAAAACAAACUACCGAUAAAAUUUAAAAAUAACAAAAUACCUAAUACGUAAUUGGAACCACCCUACUUUGUCCAAAAUUAAGGUCAUCAACUAUCCAAAUGAGUUGUGUACAAGUUUAAUAAAAUAAAAGACAUAAGAACUGGA